CUGAAUCUUUCCGAAUUUGUACCAUCGGCGUUUUGCGCCUUUGCAUUAAGCCGUUUUCCCGCAGACAAACGAAUCCGAGAAAGAGCAUCUGGCUUCAGAGGCAAUUUUUUAUUUUCAAAUAAAAAAUACACGUGGUUUGGUGGCAUGGGCCCAGGACACACACACACACACACACACACACACCCCGCCGGUAAGUUCUCGGCCUCUUGUGCUACUGAAAAGAAGGACGUGUUAAAAGGACCCCCUCCACUCGCUUCGUCUCCUCCUUGGCACAGAGUGGAGGGCAUAUAUGGCAGUUAAGACAUACAUACGUAUGUACAGACGCGCGCGCGCACACGGAUAUCCCUCGCCCCAGGGAAGGAGGCGCCUCUUGGCCCCCCCCAGGAAACAGCUGCCAAGUGCAAAAAUACUGUAGGAGGGAAGCGGCUGGCCGAACCGCUGAGAAGGAACAUUGGUACCCACAGCUAGUCCUCAACUUAACGACCACAACUGAGCCUAAAAUUUCUGUUGCUAAACGAGACAUUUAGUUCGGUGAGUUUUGCUCCGUUUUACGACCUCUCUUUUUUAACAGUCCUUAUCGCCACUUGCAGGUGAUAAGUUAACAACCCGGUUGUCCAGCCAAUCUGGCUUCCCCGUUCAAUUUGCUUUCUCCAAAGAUCACAAAAAGGGGACGGCGCGGUGACGGUCACAAGCGUGAACCAGUGAAUUUUGAUUCGCACGGGCCCUGGGGGACGCUACCAAGAUCGUCCUUUUUUUUCAGCGCCGUUAUCACUUGGAACGGCCGUUAAAUGGAUUGUCGUAAAUCGAGGACUACCUGUAUUUUGAACAGGUUUAGAAACGGGGUGAAAUUAGCGUGCCGUUGCUUCCCAAAGGGGGAAAGAGAUUUUUUUUUCUCUUUAAAUUAAAAAAUAAGGGUGCAGAAGGUGCCUUGUGAAGUUGCCUGCCUUUCUUCCAGACUCUCGUGUGUCCGGUUCACACGAUUCGGGUUAAAAGAUGGCUUAAGGGAGCCCAGGGCUCAAGAAUUCCUCCCUGGACAUUGAAGCCAAGCGUGGAUUUAUUUAUUUUUUCACGAGAAAAACGGACGGCACCCUUCCAUCCCCUGCCAGAUAUUGUGAUUUAAAAGCCUCGGCUCGCUUCUUCCGCCUUAAUAGACCGGCGCAAAAUAUCUGGGAGCGUUUUGAGGAAGUCUCAAUUCCAUCUUUUGGAGAAAGACAUUUGCCCCACGUCACGUUGUAGAAGCAGAAAAGUUCUAGAUUGUCGGUCUAUGGCAGCGGUUCUCAACCUGUGGUCCACAGACCCCUGGGGGGGGGUCCACGAUGUCACGGGGGGGUCCACAAAGGCUUGAAGAAAUCUUAAGAUCGAUAUCUUAAGUCUUGGAGUCUGUGGCCACCAAGGAUAUUUAAAGAGGAGGUCCGUGGGGAAGCCAAGGUUGAGAAGCCCUGUCCUAGAGGAAUGUUUUUCACUCUUGCUAGCUUUAAGAUGGGUAGGCUUCAACUCCCAGAAUUCCCAAGAAUUGCCUGGAGAAUUCUGGGAAUUGAAAUCUUAAAGGGUGAGAAACACCGAUCUAGUGAUCUGCGGUGGGCCUUUCUUAUCCUCAACCUCAGCAGAAGGGGAAACACAAAAUUUUCCUAGGCUGAGGUUUUUCUCUCUUAACGGGGCCCUGUCGUUAUCCCAGUGCAGUCUACAAAUGAUCAGUUUUAAAUGCUGAUUUUAAGGUAACAUCAAAUGAUUCCGGUAGCCAUAAUCUUCCCAUUUAAUGUCGAUUAAGCAGGCAGCCUUUCAUAAAACUGAACCCGUUCUUAUUUUUUCCCCUUGCUGGGCCCUGCUUUCUCCACUUCCUUCCUAGUUCCCCCUUAUCACAAUAUGUUCCUAAUUGCACUUCCCUUUAAAAGUGUCUAUAUGACUCUCCCCCCCACACACACACCUUCCUCUCUUUUCUUCUUUGCGUAAUGCUCUUUGUGCAAUUAUAACCUUUUUUGCCUCCGAUUCAAGAAUGGAAAAGGAACCACUCUCUCAUUCAUCCAUCUACCUCUUCAAUCGUUUCAGAUCGAAAUAUUCCUUAAACGUGUGCUGCCUCCCACUCUUAAAAAUAAUAAUAACAACCUUGUCAAAUUCCCAGCCAGACAUUCAGCAACUUACAGUCCUGACUUUCCUGAAAAGCCCCCUUUUUUUUCCCCUACAUAAAAUACAUCGUCCUCAAAACGCUUAGGCAGCGCGUAUCAAGUUUCCAAAAAUCUGUGCAAUAAAAUUUCUCUUCGGGACACCAAGACGUAGCACGUUUACAGGGGAUUAAACAUUUGAAAUCAACUUUUUUUUUUUUGCCCUGUUGUAGCUUAAGCAAUAGGGAAUUUUUAAAAAAAAUAAUGACAAUUAAUACUGCUCCAGGAAGAUGACGGUUUCGUAGCCAGAGUUGGCGAAUUGAAUUGAAUAAAACUUUAAAAUGCUGGUGAUAAUCCACUUCUUAAGAAUUCAACGUCUUUGAUUUGAUUCAGUUAAAGUAGAAGCCGAGUAGAAUUCAGCGGGGUUCUUAUUUUUUUUUUAAAAAAAUGUGUUUCUUCCUAUAAAUAAGGGUUUAAAUAAAAAUCUGAUCUCAGUAAGCAAGCCGGUGGACAGAAUUCUAUUUAAUGACGUGAUGCUUUUUCCUUCUGUUUUUAUAUUUCAACGUUGUUGUUUUUUCUAUCUCCUACUGCUGGGAGAAAAAGCAACCUUCCACAAAAAAAAUUUGAACGUGAAAGACGCUGUCUUGCACACUCACUCACUCCCAUGCUUGCCUUCAAUGUAUAUAUUUAAACAGACAGACAGACAGACAAAUUGCUCUCGCUUUCUUAAAAAUAUACUCUCCCUUUUCACACCCACCCCCAAACUGCCUGAGCUUAUCAGGUUCACCCAGAAAAAUAGAUCUGACCGGGUCCUAAAACAGCCUACCCCCUCCAUCUCUUAAACUUCGAGAGAUGUAGAAUCUCCCAAGAUUCAAUUCCAUGAUUUAAGGGGGGGGUGCCAUUUAAGAGAAACUUGCUCUAUCCCCGACCCCCCCAAAAAAUAACAAUUUUCCCGACAGAUUUCCUAUUUGGCUUCUUUCUCUGGACACAGAAAGAGAUGGAUGCAUCUUAUUCUGUGUUUUUGGUUUCUUUUAGGCAUAUAUACCAGUGGGGUCUUCAAACUUGGCCCUUUUAUGACUUGUGGACUUCAUCUCCCAGAAUUCCUCAGCCGGGCACGUGUGCCCGGCUGAGGAAUUCUGGGAGUUGAAGUCUACAAGUCAUAAAAAGGCCAAGUUUGAAGACCCCUGAUAUAUACAGACAGGCAGUCCUUGACUUAUAACCACAAUUAGGACCUGGAUUUGCACUGCAAAGCAAAUCGGUGGUUAAGUAAGUUGCGCCCAAUUUUUAUGACUUUUUUUUGGGGGGGGGCACGGUUCUUAAGCGAUUCGUUGCGGUUCUUAAGCGAAUCACGUCACUAAGCGAAUCUGGCUGCUUCCACCGUUGACUUUCUUUGUCAGGAAGUCUCAGAUGGCAAUUGGCGUGUUCCCGGGACGCCGCAUCUGUCGUAAAGAGAUGCCCAUUGCCAAGCACCCGAAUUCUGGAUCAUGUAACCGUGGGAGAUGCUCAAAACAGUCGUAAGCAUGAGGCUGGCUUUUUUUCAGGGGUGCUGUAAGUCUGAACGGUCCCUCAAAGAAUGGCUGUAAGUCAAGGACUGCCUAUGUAUCCCUUAAACCAGGGGUAGGCAACCUUGGCUCUUUUAUGACUGGUGGCCUACCCCUGCCUUAAACCCUACCAUCCUUCUCAGAAUAAGAUUUAGAGUUUUACCUGUUUUAAAAAAUAAAAUAAAAUCACAUUUUGUUUGCUCCUGUGUUUUUAAACAAAAGGUUUCACGAAGCUGCAGCCCCAGAUGUAAGCAUUGUACCAACCUCUCAUGUAACCUGGUUGGUUAGUGUCUGAGUGCGACAUGCAAACUAACCCUAAAUCAUAAUUGGAACGGCUUCGUGUGACGUCUGAGCCUCAAAAACGUAUCUUGAACGUCAAACUCUGCCGUUAAAUUUCUGCACCAGGCACAGGAGUACGGGGAUCCAAAAAUAAAAUACAGGCGGUCCUCGACUUACAGCUUCAGCUGAGGCCAGAAUUUCUGUUUGCCACGUGAAACGUCUGUGAAGUGAAUUUUGCCCCGUUUUACGACCUUUCCAGCCACAGUUAAGGGAAUCGCGACAGUUGUUAAGUCAGCAACACGGUUAUCAGAAGGUCGCAAAAGGGGAUCACGUGACCCCGGGACACUGCGACCGUCAUAAAUAGGAGCCACUUGCCAAGCGUCGGAAUCGUUAAUCACGUGAACCUGGGGAGGCCGCAACGGUCUUAAAGAUGAAAAACGGUCGCAAGUCAUUCUUUUGAGUGCCGUUGUAGCUUCGGUCACUAACUGGAUUGCUGUAAGUCGAGGACAGCCUAUAAAUCAGUAUUCCAUCGGAGACCCUAUCCUCCCUUCUUCCCCAGAAUACAGUUUUGGUCUCAGACUGAGCAAAUCCCUUCCUGUUACAC